rnacentral:misc_RNA from 1 species
UUUCCGUAGGUGAACCUGCGGAAGGAUCAUUAUCCAUCUCAGGCCAGGUGCGGUCGCGGCCCCCGGGGGCUUGCUCCCGGGUGGUAGGGGUAACACCCUCACGCGCCGCCUGCCUGUACCCUCUUUUUACGAGCACCUUUCGUUCUCCUUCGGCGGGGCAACCUGCCGCUGGAACCAAGACAAAACCUUUUUUGCAUCUAGCAUUACCUGUUCUGAUACAAAUAAUCGUUACAACUUUCAACAAUGGAUCUCUUGGCUCUG